GGAGAUCCUGUGCCCUAGCGGAGUGAGA
rnacentral:sRNA from 1 species